rnacentral:rRNA from 17 species
UAGGGGUGAAAGGCCAAUCAAACUCGGAGAUAGCUGGUUCUCCGCGAAAUCUAUUUAGGUAGAGCGUCUCGUAUUACCCACGGGGGUAGAGCACUGGAUGGGCUAGGGGGUCCCAACGACUUACCAAACCUAACCAAACUCCGAAUACCGUGGAGUACAGCGAGGCAGACACACUGCGGGUGCUAAGGUCCGUAGUGGAGAGGGAAACAGCCCUGACCGCCAGCUAAGGUCCCUAAGUUAUCACUAAGUGGGAAACGAUGUGGGAGUGCUUAGACAACCAGGAGGUUGGCUUAGAAGCAGCCAUCCUUUAAAGAUAGCGUAACAGCUCACUGGUCUAAAUAAGGGUUCCUGCGGCGAAGAUGUAACGGGGCUCAAGAUAUGCACCGAAGCUUAGGGUUCAGAAUUUAUUCUGAGCGGUAGCGGAGCGUUCCGUAAGCGGAUGAAGCCGAAGGGUAACCGACGGUGGACGUAUCGGAAGUGCGAAUGCUGACAUGAGUAGCGACAAACAGUGUGAGAUGCACUGUCGCCGAAAGCCCAAGGGUUCCUGCUUAAAGCUAAUCUGAGCAGGGUGAGUCGGCCCCUAAGACGAGCCCGAAGGGGGUAGUCGAUGGGAACACGGUUAAUAUUCCGUGACCUGGUGG